rnacentral:tRNA from 1 species
GGGUGUGGCUCAGCGGCAGGGCGCGUGCUUAGCACGCACGAGGUCCUGGGUUCUACCCCCAGCACCUCCA